rnacentral:tRNA from 1 species
GCCCGAGUGGCGGAAUUGGCAGACGCGCUAGCUUCAGGUGCUAGUUUGAGUAAUCAAGUGCAGGUUCAACCCCUGUCUCGGGCACCA